UACAGAGGGGGCAAGCGUUGUUCGGAAUUACUGGGCGUAAAGGGCGCGUAGGCGGCCUUCUAAGUCGAACGUGAAAUCCCCGGGCUCAACCCGGGAACUGCGUCCGAUACUGGAAGGCUUGAAUCCGGGAGAGGGAUGUGGAAUUCCAGGUGUAGCGGUGAAAUGCGUAGAUAUCUGGAGGAACACCGGUGGCGAAGGCGACAUCCUGGACCGGUAUUGACGCUGAGGCGCGAAAGCUAGGGGAGCAAACGGG
rnacentral:rRNA from 1 species